rnacentral:rRNA from 1 species
GAUGAACGCUAGCGACAGGCCUAACACAUGCAAGUCGAGGGGCAGCACGAAUUAGCAAUAGUUUGGUGGCGACCGGCGCACGGGUGCGUAACACGUAUGCAACCUACCGUUAAGCGGGGNGAUAACCCNGGAGAAAUCCGGACUAACACCGCAUAAUACCGGCAUUCCGCAUGGGGUGCCGUUUAAACGUUUUGGCUUAACGAUGGGCAUGCGCAUGAUUAGUUAGUUGGUGGGGUAACGGCUCACCAAGGCGACGAUCAUUAGGGGUUCUGAGAGGAAGGUCCCCCACACUGGUACUGAGACACGGACCAGACUCCUACGGGAGGCAGCAGUGAGGAAUAUUGGUCAAUGGUCGAGAGACUGAACCAGCCAAGUCGCGUGAAGGAUGAAGGUUCUAUGGAUUGUAAACUUCUUUUGUAAGGGAAUAAAGUGGGCUACGCGUAGCCUUUUGUAUGUACCUUACGANUAAGCAUCGGCUAACUCCGUGCCAGCAGCCGCGGUAAUACGGAGGAUGCGAGCGUUAUCCGGAUUUAUUGGGUUUAAAGGGUGCGUAGGCGGGAAGUCAAGUCAGUGGUGAAAUCUUGCGGCUCAACCGUAAGCUUGCCGUUGAAACUGGUUUUCUUGAGUACAGGAUAGGUAUGCGGAAUGUGUAGUGUAGCGGUGAAAUGCAUAGAUAUUACACAGAANCCCCGAUUGCGAAGGCAGCAUGCUGGUCUGUAACUGACGCUGAUGCACGAAAGCGUGGGAAUCAAACAGGAUUAGAUACCCUGGUAGUCCACGCCGUAAACGAUGAAUACUCGCUGUUUGCGAUAUACGGCAAGCGGCCAAGCGAAAGCGUUAAGUAUUCCACCUGGGGAGUACGUCGGCAACGAUGAAACUCAAAGGAAUUGACGGG